rnacentral:rRNA from 1 species
AGAGUUUGUUCCUGGCUCAGGAUGAACGCUAGCGACAAGCUUAACACAUGCAAGUCGAGGGGCAGCGGUGGUGAAGGCUUGCCUUUACCAGCCGGCGACCGGCGCACGGGUGAGUAACACGUAUGCAACCUGCCUGCCACAGCCGGAUAAUCGGGAGAAAUUCCGUCUAAUACGGCAUAAUGCACCUAUGGGACAUCCUGUUGGUGCCAAAGGUUGAUUCCGGUGGCGGAUGGGCAUGCGUCGCAUUAGUUAGUUGGCGGUGUAACGGACCACCAAGACGACGAUGCGUAGGGGUUCUGAGUGGAAGGUCCCCCACACUGGUACUGAGACACGGACCAGACUCCUACGGGAGGCAGCAGUGAGGAAUAUUGGUCAAUGGGCGGGAGCCUGAACCAGCCAAGUCGCGUGAGGGAUGACGGCCCUAUGGGUUGUAAACCUCUUUUGCCGGGGAGCAAAGUGCCGCACGUGUGCGGUUUGGAGAGUACCCGGAGAAAAAGCAUCGGCUAACUCCGUGCCAGCAGCCGCGGUAAUACGGAGGAUGCGAGCGUUAUCCGGAUUUAUUGGGUUUAAAGGGUGCGUAGGCGGACGCUUAAGUCAGCGGUAAAAUUGCGGGGCUCAACCUCGUCGAGCCGUUGAAACUGGGUGCCUUGAGUGGGCGAGAAGUACGCGGAAUGCGUGGUGUAGCGGUGAAAUGCAUAGAUAUCACGCAGAACUCCGAUUGCGAAGGCAGCGUACCGGCGCCCAACUGACGCUGAAGCACGAAGGCGUGGGUAUCGAACAGGAUUAGAUACCCUGGUAGUCCACGCAGUAAACGAUGAAUGCUAGUUGUCCGGGGCGAUUGAGUUCUGGGUGACACAGCGAAAGCGUUAAGCAUUCCACCUGGGGAGUACGCCGGCAACGGUGAAACUCAAAGGAAUUGACGGGGGCCCGCACAAGCGGAGGAACAUGUGGUUUAAUUCGAUGAUACGCGAGGAACCUUACCCGGGCUCAAACGCAGGAGGGAUGUUUUUGAAAGGAGGCAGCCAGCAAUGGUCUCCUGCGAGGUGCUGCAUGGUUGUCGUCAGCUCGUGCCGUGAGGUGUCGGCUUAAGUGCCAUAACGAGCGCAACCCCUACCUACAGUUGCCAUCGCGUGAUGGCGGGCACUCUGUGGGGACUGCCUGCGCAAGCAGUGAGGAAGGCGGGGAUGACGUCAAAUCAGCACGGCCCUUACGUCCGGGGCGACACACGUGUUACAAUGGCAGGUACAGCGGGAAGCCACCCGGCGACGGGGCGCGGAACCCGAAAACCUGUCUCAGUUCGGAUUGGAGUCUGCAACCCGACUCCAUGAAGCUGGAUUCGCUAGUAAUCGCGCAUCAGCCACGGCGCGGUGAAUACGUUCCCGGGCCUUGCACACACCGCCCGUCAAG